rnacentral:tRNA from 2 species
GCGGAUGUGGCGGAACUGGUAGACGCGCACGUUUGAGGGGCGUGUGGCUUGUCCGUGCGAGUUCGAGUCUCGCCAUCCGCA